rnacentral:rRNA from 1 species
UACGUAGGGUGCAAGCGUUGUCCGGAAUUAUUGGGCGUAAAGAGCUCGUAGGCGGUCUGUCGCGUCUGCUGUGAAAACCUGGGGCUUAACCCCGGGCCUGCAGUGGGUACGGGCAGACUAGAGUGCGGUAGGGGAGACUGGAAUUCCUGGUGUAGCGGUGAAAUGCGCAGAUAUCAGGAGGAACACCGGUGGCGAAGGCGGGUCUCUGGGCCGUAACUGACGCUGAGGAGCGAAAGUGUGGGGAGCGAACAGG